GUGUCUGGCAAGGUUAAGCAAACGCGAAGCCGUAGCGAAAGCGAGUCUGAAUAGGGCGCUUAGUCAGAUGCUGCAGACCCGAAACGAAGUGAUCUAUCCAUGAGCAAGUUGAAGCUAGUGUAAGAACUAGUGGAGGACUGAACCCAUAGGCGUUGAAAAGCCCCGGGAUGACUUGUGGAUAGGGGUGAAAGGCCAAUCAAACUUCGUGAUAGCUGGUUCUCUCCGAAAUAUAUUUAGGUAUAGCGUUGUGUCGUAAUAUAAGGGGGUAGAGCACUGAAUGGGCUAGGGCAUACACCAAUGUACCAAACCCUAUCAAACUCCGAAUACCUUAUAUGUAAUCACAGCAGUCAGGCGGCGAGUGAUAAAAUCCGUCGUCAAGAGGGAAACAACCCAGACUACCAGCUAAGGUCCCUAAAUCUUACUUAAGUGGAAAACGAUGUGAAGUUACUUAAACAACCAGGAGGUUGGCUUAGAAGCAGCCAUCCUUUAAAGAAAGCGUAAUAGCUCACUGGUCUAGUGAUUUUGCGCGGAAAAUAUAACGGGGCUAAAGUAAGUACCGAAGCUGUAGACUUGCACACAACUUAGAUUAUUUAAGUUUAGAAUAUGAGAAACUAAGUUAUAUGUUUAGUUAUAUUUUUACUGAUUUUUAUAGAGUAAAGAUAGAAAUAAAACUUAAUAAAAUCAGUAAAAAUAUUCUUAGGCUAAAGUUAAGUAGUUUAAGUUGUGUGCAAGUGGUAGGAGAGCGUUCUAUUUGCGUCGAAGGUAUACCGGUAAGGAGUGCUGGAGCGAAUAGAAGUGAGCAUGCAGGCAUGAGUAGCGAUAAUUAAUGUGAGAAUCAUUAACGCCGUAAACCCAAGGUUUCCUACGCGAUGCUCGUCAUCGUAGGGUUAGUCGGGUCCUAAGUCGAGUCCGAAAGGGGUAGACGAUGGCAAAUUGGUUAAUAUUCCAAUACCAACAUUAGUGUGCGAUGGAAGGACGCUUAGGGCUAAGGGGGCUAGCGGAUGGAAGUGCUAGUCUAAGGUUGUAGGAGGUUAUACAGGCAAAUCCGUAUAACAAUACUCCGAGAACUGAAAGGCUUUUUGAAGUCUUCGGAUGGAUAGAAGAACCCCUGAUGCCGUCGAGCCAAGAAAAGUUUCUAAGUUUAGCUAAUGUUGCCCGUACCGUAAACCGACACAGGUGGGUGGGAUGAGUAUUCUAAGGCGCGUGGAAGAACUCUCUUUAAGGAACUCUGCAAAAUAGCACCGUAUCUUCGGUAUAAGGUGUGGUUAGCUUCGUACUAGGAUUUACUCCGAAAGCGAAGAAACUUACAACAAAGAGUCCCUCCCGACUGUUUACCAAAAACACAGCACUCUGCUAACUCGUAAGAGGAUGUAUAGGGUGUGACGCCUGCCCGGUGCUCGAAGGUUAAUUGAUGGGGUUAGCAUUAGCGAAGCUCUUGAUCGAAGCCCGAGUAAACGGCGGCCGUAACUAUAACGGUCCUAAGGUAGCGAAAUUCCUUGUCGGUUAAAUACCGACCUGCAUGAAUGGCGUAACGAGAUGGGAGCUGUCUCAAAGAGGGAUCCAGUGAAAUUGUAGUGGAGGUGAAAAUUCCUCCUACCCGCGGCAAGACGGAAAGACCCCGUGGACCUUUACUACAGCUUGACACUGCUACUUGGAUAAGAAUGUGCAGGAUAGGUGGGAGGCUUUGAGUAUAUGACGCCAGUUGUAUAUGAGCCAUUGUUGAGAUACCACUCUUUCUUAUUUGGGUAGCUAACCAGCUUGAGUUAUCCUCAAGUGGGACAAUGUCUGGUGGGUAGUUUGACUGGGGCGGUCGCCUCCCAAAUAAUAACGGAGGCUUACAAAGGUUGGCUCAGAACGGUUGGAAAUCGUUCGUAGAGUAUAAAGGUAUAAGCCAGCUUAACUGCAAGACAUACAAGUCAAGCAGAGACGAAAGUCGGUCUUAGUGAUCCGGUGGUUCUGUGUGGAAGGGCCAUCGCUCAAAGGAUAAAAGGUACCCCGGGGAUAACAGGCUGAUCUCCCCCAAGAGCUCACAUCGACGGGGAGGUUUGGCACCUCGAUGUCGGCUCAUCGCAUCCUGGGGCUGGAGCAGGUCCCAAGGGUAUGGCUGUUCGCCAUUUAAAGCGGUACGCGAGCUGGGUUCAGAACGUCGUGAGACAGUUCGGUCCCUAUCUGCCGUGGGCGUAAGAAGAUUGAAGAGAUUUGACCCUAGUACGAGAGGACCGGGUUGAACAAACCACUGGUGUAGCUGUUGUUCUGCCAAGAGCAUCGCAGCGUAGCUAAGUUUGGAAAGGAUAAACGCUGAAAGCAUCUAAGCGUGAAGCCAACUCUAAGAUGAAUCUUCUCUAAGCUCUCUAGAAGACUACUAGUUUGAUAGGCUGGGUGUGUAAUGGAUGAAAGUCCUUUAGCUGACCAGUACUAAUAGAGCAUUUGGCUUAUCUUUAAUAAAGCAU
rnacentral:rRNA from 1 species